UAUAUAUAUAUAGAGAGAGAGAGUGCAGUAUAGCAUCAUGCUCAAGAGUGAAGACAGGUCAGCCAUAUGACCUGGGUUUAGUUUCUAAUCUGCCACUGACUGGUUUGGCCAUGAGCGUACUACUUAAUUCCAUUAUGUUAAGGUUGUACAGUACAGUAACCGACCCUUUCUCACAGGAUGAUUUUGAGGACUAAAUAGGCAUUUAGUGUAACCCUUGCUUUGUAGUAAGUGCACGGUAGUUCUUGCUAUUAAUUUUCCAGUGUCCUGAAAGGAUACAGCAAUAUUAAGCAGGGCAUUUUUCCUCACUUCAAAGCUCUCACCAUUUAGGGUGUACAUAUUUAAUAUUCAUAAUAAACCACCUGGUGCAUAUCAACAUCUCAUUUUAAAUAAAAGAAAACUGAAUCUCAGAGAUAAAGCUUUCUGUUGAAGUACAGUUCAUUCAUGAUUUAAGGAGUUAACAUUCCUUCUCAAUAUUUGCUUCUUAGUAUAUAAAUGCCCUCACUCUGAAUCUCUUCAGGACAAAAGGAGCAGGAUGUCUACUUGGGAAAUAAUUAAAGAAUCAAUUUGCAAAUUUGGUACAAAUACAGAAAGGAGAAGGGACAUGGAUUAGCGGCAUUCAAUAAGAAUUUCUUCAGGGCUUCCAUGCAAAGUAGCUGGGUCUUAGUGGAGGACAGUGAAGACUAAAAGAUGUGGUCCUGAUCAUAAGGAGGUUAUAAUCUCUCCAUGGCAACACACACACCCAUGACACAGUUGGGGCACAAUUUAAGAUCUUGUAUGUGUGAGAAAAUAAGGUCUUGAGUGGAACUGCUUCCUGAGGAAAUAGAACUUGAACUUGUUUGUGAAUACCAUUUUAGCUGAAAGGUCUGGAAUUUGAAUUUAUACCAUUGCCUGGCAUAUCACUGAUGCUUCUCUUCCAUUUUGUUCCGUGACUUAUAUAUUUGGAAAGCAACUGAGACCUAAUAAUUUGGACUAAUAUUUUGGAAUUGCCCACCUUGUAAAAUGUAUUGAGAUAAGUCAUCUUAAACUAGCAGUCUUAGCGAUUAUUGCCAUUUUGCAGAGAGAGGAACCAAAGCUUAAAGAGUUUAAAUAAGCAGUGCAGUUCCUUAAUUUCACACUGACUUUGGCUGAGUUCUUUUAAGGGGUAGUUUUAGAUCCUAAGCUUAAAUUUGCCAGCACGUUUAGUAUUGGAAAUUUUCUAUUGCAUGGAGUUUUUAUAAAUCACAUGCAAUCACUUUAACUUUUUUGACCAAAUUAUCUCAGAUACGUACGCCAGCCCAUGAACGCAGCUAGUUCUGUUUUGCUGUUCAGUGUCAUAAUAUUGCCUGGGGUGUAGGAGAAAAAUCCUUGACUAGCUAGAGUGCAUUCUUAGUCUCAGCAGCCCUUUCUCUGAGUAGGGAUGAAAGCUUGGUUUAUCUGACUCAUACACCAAACUACUAUGCUCUGUUUUCUGCAUUCUGGUUUCUGCAACAGUUCUGAUCCAUGUGCCAAUGACAAAUAAAGCCUGUCAAGAAGAACAGUGAUGGGAUGGAUUGUGGAUCUAUGGAUUCUAGCACUGGUACUUUGUGUGUUGACUGUGGCCUUGCAGUUCCUCAUGGAAGAGCUUACUGAUAACAUACGGUGGGCUGGGCCUACAGGAUACCUGGAAAAAAUGAAAUUAAAACAAACAAAAAAACAAUAUCCAUUAACCUCUGUGCUCACAGUCAUUAUCAUCAAUCAGUUGCUAGGUAGCUUUGCAUUUUGGCAACUAGGUUAAUUCCACUGUAAACACAAAUGGUUUGCUGGCUGAAGCUAUGGCUGAGUUUCUGAGUUUCGGGUCUGUCAGGCGGUUCAGCCAUUCCUGUCACAGUCAAAGGAUGGGAGGAUGUGUCCUCUCCUCUGAGUGUUCUCAAGUUGCAAAAACAAAUAUUUAAAAAAAGAAGAAAAAGACUAGGGCUGCACAUGGGGGGCAAUUUUUCCUCAUUGCAUUUGCAUGUAGAACUUACGUAUCACAAGAAUUAUUAAAAUACCUAGUAGGAAAGCAUUGUAAUGGGUGACCCAUUUUAAAAGGGCUACUGCAUUUCGGGUCCUCAGUAGGUUGAUCAGGCCAGGGCCAUGAGAUACUCCUGUGAGAAGACUGGAUGGACUUCUUUAUAAAAGCAAAAGGAAAUAUUCUGACCACUUUUAUAGAUUGAUUUAUGUACCAUUACUAAGAAAGUUUGUUUUCUACAAAACAAGGAACUGGAUUCAGUUUCUGAAUCACCCUGAGCCGGUGCCUGUGGACGUGGUAUAUUAGACAGGCUUUGGGUCAUUCAAUGUGCUAAGCACCCAGAGU